rnacentral:rRNA from 1 species
UACGAAGGGGGCUAGCGUUGUUCGGAAUUACUGGGCGUAAAGCGCACGUAGGCGGACAUUUAAGUCAGGGGUGAAAUCCCAGAGCUCAACUCUGGAACUGCCUUUGAUACUGGGUGUCUUGAGUAUGGAAGAGGUGAGUGGAAUUCUGAGUGUAGAGGUGAAAUUCGUAGAUAUUCGGAGGAACACCAGUGGCGAAGGCGGCUCACUGGUCCAUUACUGACGCUGAGGUGCGAAAGCGUGGGGAGCAAACAGG